UACGUAGGUGGCAAGCGUUGUCCGGAUUUAUUGGGCGUAAAGCGAGCGCAGGCGGUCUUUUAAGUCUGAUGUGAAAGCCCUCGGCUCAACCGAGGAAGGUCAUUGGAAACUGGGAGACUUGAGUGCAGAAGAGGAGAGUGGAAUUCCAUGUGUAGCGGUGAAAUGCGUAGAUAUAUGGAGGAACACCAGUGGCGAAGGCGACUCUCUGGUCUGUAACUGACGCUGAGGCUCGAAAGCGUGGGGAGCAAACAGG
rnacentral:rRNA from 1 species